rnacentral:rRNA from 1 species
AUUGAACGCUGGCGGCAGGCCUAACACAUGUAAGUCGAGCGGAUGAAGGGAGCUUGCUCCUGGAUUCAGCGGCGGACGGGUGAGUAAUGCCUAGGAAUCUGCCUGGUAGUGGGGGAUAACGUCCGGAAACGGGCGCUAAUACCGCAUACGUCCUGAGGGAGAAAGUGGGGGAUCUUCGGACCUCACGCUAUCAGAUGAGCCUAGGUCGGAUUAGCUAGUUGGUGGGGUAAAGGCCUACCAAGGCGACGAUCCGUAACUGGUCUGAGAGGAUGAUCAGUCACACUGGAACUGAGACACGGUCCAGACUCCUACGGGAGGCAGCAGUGGGGAAUAUUGGACAAAGGGCGAAAGCCUGAUCCAGCCAUGCCGCGUGUGUGAAGAAGGUCUUCGGAUUGUAAAGCACUUUAAGUUGGGAGGAAGGGCAGUAAGUUAAUACCUUGCUGCUUUGACGUUACCAACAGAAUAAGCACCGGCUAACUUCGUG